UUGUUUUGCUGGUCUGUAGGGACAUUGUGCACGGUCCAUUAGUUUCCACCUCAUACCCCUGUGCACCUCCCAUAGACUUCGGUUAGGGUUAUCGUUUGGUUUUUUUUUUAAUUGGAAAGGCAUGUCGUUUCUUUUACUAGACUUUUUUUAUAUACCACCCCCCAAAAAUAUGUUUUAUUAAUGAAUGGUUUAUAAUAACAAGGCCAUGAGCCUUAUAAACUUAAUACAACUUUCAACAACGGAUCUCUUGGCUCUCGCAUCGAUGAAGAACGCAGCGAAAUGCGAUUUGAAGUAAUGUGAAUUGCAGAAUUCAGUGAAUCAUCGAAUCUUUGAACGCACCUUGCGCCCUUUGGUAUUCCGAAGGGCAUGCCUGUUUGAGUGUCAUUAAAUUCUCAAACUUUUAGGACUUUAUUGUGGUAGCUGUUGGGAUUGUGGGGGGUGGCGGGCUUUUUUUUUGAAGUCGGCUCCUCUUAAAUGCAUUAGCGGGACUUUGUUGCCUCUGCGCAUAGUGUGAUAAUUAUCUACGCUAGACGCAUGCAAUUCUUAUAUUGUCCAGCUUUCUAAUCGUCUCAAGGGACAAUUACUUUGACAAUUGACCUCAAAUCAGGUAGAUACC
rnacentral:rRNA from 1 species